UUUAAAUCCCCUGCAUGUGAGCCCAAAUGGAAUGGUUAAUUGAGUAUGGUUUGGCAAGGAAAUGGCUUGAUUUUAGGUAAAUUUUGGGAUCACACGGCCUAGGACAAGGGAUGUCACAUAGGCUAUGUGACACACACGAUCGUACAAAACGACCGUGUGUCAUUUUAAAUUUCUUAAUGUUUCAAGUUAGUGAGUUACACGGCCUGGCACACGACUGUGU
rnacentral:lncRNA from 1 species